rnacentral:rRNA from 1 species
CUCUCCACCACCAAGGUGCUCCAUCCCCACCCCGUCACCAAGAACUCCGGCCUCUUCGUCAUCCUGGGUGCCGGGCAGAUCCCGGGGAAGACUAUGUCGGACGUGGAGAAGCACUUCCCACGCUAUCUUGCUCCUCCACUGCCGGCCCCACGUCGUCCUGCCUACCAGUGCCCCCCACGCGGCCCUGCUCCCCGCCGUUGCCCCCUCCAGGUUGCCGGCGGCGGAGAUUUAUGUCCGUGCGAACAUCCCGAUCGGAAACAUCAGUGCCAGUGGGUUCUUCUUCAGAGACCAUCCAUUUGACGUUCUGCCCCGAGUCCCGAUGACCUUCUUAUGUGCGGAUGUCAAAAGACAUGCCUUCUUUGUACCAUUCGCGAGACCAAACAGUGCCUGACAAAAGAAGGCAGCCAAACCUACUAACCAGCGGGAUCCGAAUGAUGUGUGGAUUUCCAAAAGGAAGAAGAAGGCCAUUCACAAGACCACGACCACUGAUGGCAAGAUCACGACCUUGAAAAUGGUAGUAAUGAACACCAUUCUUGGUAUCGAAGAGGUCAACAUUGUCAAGGAUGACUUAGUUAUCCAAUUUCAGAAUUCGAAAUGUGAAAUGUUGACAUGUUAUACCAUUACUUCUAUAGAAUUGAGGAUCCACUUAAACAUUUCUUCUAACAUUGGUGAUUCUUGAUUUCUCCCAGUGCAAACAUCCAUCACAACACAUGGGUAGUCACUGGAACACCUCCGUUGAAAAGUAACUCUUGCUUUAGAAUCUUCAUGGCUUAAUUGUUUCGUCGAGUAGCCUUAUUUUUCUGGAGCAACAUAAAUAUCUUUAAGAUAUGUCAAACUGCUUUCGCAGGCAGUGAUCUGAAUUUUAUUUGUACAUCUACUUUUAAGUUUGAUGGGUAUGUAAAUAUUAUUAAUGUACAUGGCAUAAUAUGAUAUCCACUUGAACUCCUUGUCAAUAUUCAAUAUCAAAGUUGAAUAUGUCCGCCUUGCCCCAAACUCCACAGUCUUAGUCACUGCAAUUUAACUUUAUUUAUAUAUGCAAUAAAAGUAGUUGAAAACCAAACUGGUAAAUUCUAGUUGUACCAUAUUUGUUCUUUGAGAGUUGCACUACAUUCUUUGACUUGACAUAACUGCAAUUUCACCUUUGGCCCUUUAUUUUUGACAGAGCUGCAAGCUAUGUUUUUAAGGCGGUAAGGCGAGGCGAGGCGCUGGAGGGGCGCCUCACUGCCUAAGCGGUAAGGCAUAAGGCGAGGCGACGCCUUAGACACAUACAUAUAUAAUAGAUGGCAGCCAAUUAGGAGAUUUAACUACUAGCAUUGACAUCAUAAAUUGUACAUACAUAUAUAACAGAUGGCAGCCAUUUAGGAAAUUUAACAACUAACAGUAACAUAAUUAGUUGUUGCCAAAUCAUAGGCCUCAAAUCAUCUUCUGUAUAUGACAGAACGGCGCCUUUGAACUUCAGCUUCAUCCUUCUCAUCAAUAUAUCGCUCCAUAGCUUUAAACUUUCUAGUGUUUAAGGUUUUGCGCAUCUCUAUCCUAAUCUCCAUAGAUGCCUCGGGACACAUAUCUGCAUCACUACAACCCCCAGAAAGGUGCUGCUUCAGCCUUCUCACUCCAGCAUGGACUAUCUUGCCACACAAUGUACACUGGAGUAAAUCUUUCCUCUCUAAAUCUGGCCAGAACCCAUACUUCGAAACUGGAUCAUCUGAUGUAGCUCUUCUCCUAGGAUCCAUCAGAGCAGGGCCACCUCGCUGCUGCAGCAACACUGAGAAAAGACCCAAUCAACCGUCAAAGAGAGAAGAGCCAAAUCACUAGAGCAAGCAGACAAGCAUGGGGAAGGAGAGAAGCGAUGGUGGGGUUGCUGCCUUGUGGAUGGAGAAGCAGAUUUGGGAGCAAACAGAUGCAGAGGAGGAGCAGGCAAGCAGCCAAGCACAUCUACAGAUCUACCUACAAUGCAGGAAGAAACAAAGUACUAGGAGGGGUAGAAGAAAAUUCAGAGGAGGCCAGGAUAGAAGUGAGAUGAGAACGGGAGCCACACCUUGCUGUUGCGCCAGAGUUGGAGGGAGAGCUGAGCCCGGCGAGGAGGGGCACAGAUCGGAGCUGUAGAGGAAGGAGCCGCCGCCAAAGGUCAGAGAGGAGAGAAGGAAACCCUAUCGGGUGGAUUGGACGAUUGGUUCGAUCCUCUCUGUCCCGCCCUUCGCCUUAUACCUGUUCGCACUCGCGCGCGAGCCCAAUAUUUCCAGCGAAAGCCCGCGAAAGCUUCCCGCGUGGGCCACUCUUUCCCGCCUGGAAGCAGCCCAUGGCGUCCGAUCUGGCCCAAGGCGCCGCCCUACGCGCCUAGGCGGACGAUUCAGACGCCCUAGGAUCUAAAGCGGACGCUUUACGACGAUGUGUAAGGCAGGUUCGACGCCUUGCCAUCGGAGGGCGCCCCGACGCUAAGGCGUCGCCUAAGCGACGCUUCACAGACGCCUUAAAAACAGAGGCUGCAAGAUAUUCUGGCAACACUUAUCAACCAACUGGUAAGUCCCUUUACAUUCUCACAUUAGUCCAAUGGUUGCCUAUGUUUCCGGAAAAAUAUCGCCAUACUUGAAAUGGAAGACAGUAAAACAUUUGAACCAAACUAGUGCCUUUAUACCAUGCCUCAAUAGGAAAUUCCUUUUCGACAGGACCUGAUAACAUGGAUAGCCUGUGAAGCUAUAUAGCGAUGUACCUCUUCUGGUUGUUGAUUAUUAAAAUUUUAUUGUUUGACACUCAUCUCCACCCAAUUAACUUUCAAUGACCAGGAGCUAGUCAUCCAUGGUGGCAACGACAUCGGGAAGAUCUCACCUUGCUUUUUUACUUGGAUUUAUAGCCUGGGUUUGUUGGUGAAGUAAUGAUCGAAGGAGAUAUUAAAUUGUUGUCUGUGGUAGCAAAUGGCUUGCCUACAACAGAGGACUUUGAGCAUGUCACUGAUUUGGAAAUAUUGAAGGUUCCACCUGUCCCCAUGGAUAAAUUCCUUUAUCUUUUUAUUGGGUUAAUCUCUACAGCAAAUAAUUUUAAACGUAGAAUAGUGGUUCGUAGAACUGGGGUAUCAUGCGUGGGUAGUGACCACCUUAUUGAAGAUCCUUCUUCCUGUUUUGAUUGCAUUUUCAUUCACUAUGUACUUGGUUACACCUUGUCACAAGACAACACUCUUCAAAAUUUUGUCAAAACUCUUCUUGUGUUCUGUUUAUUCUAGAAUUACAGCUCCUCACUUCAUGGUCAAUACUUAUGUGCCUCUUUUGCUGCCUUUGAUAAAAUCAUAAAAAUGAGGUGGUGAACGAGGAGCUCUGGAAUGAAGCACAGACAUAUGGAGACAUCAAGUUGCUGCUGUUUGUUGAUUAUUAUAACAAGUGGAAUGGCAAGUUAUCCCCCAUGGGCAAUAGACCAGGAUAAAUUGUAUGUCAGGAUAUAGCAAAAGAAGUUUACAGGAAACACAAAAGAGGGGAGCAAAAGAUUUUCAAGCUGGAGGAUGUCCUCCAAGAUGAAGAAUGAAAGCUUUGAUGUCAAGUAUGAGAACGAUGCAAGGAUCUUUUUCGAAGGCUAUGCGGAUGGGCAUGUAGUUGCUUCCCCACUAGUAGGAGCCAAGGCAGACAAUGUGCCUUUUAGACAAAUUCUAGAAAACAAAACAAGGAUUUUUUGCUCUCAGACAAUGAACCAUAACGUUUCCUUUAUUUAAUUACUUACAUUGGUUUAUAGGAAACUUUGAUGGUCAUCAGUUCAUAACAG